rnacentral:rRNA from 1 species
UGCCAGCCGCAGCGGUAAUACGGAGGGUGCAAGCGUUAAUCGGACGUACUGGGCGUAAAGGGCGCGUAGGCGGCUACAUAAGUCGGAUGUGAAAGCCCAGGGCUCAACCCUGGAAAGUCAUUCGAUACUGUGUGGCUAGAGUACAGUAGAGGAGAGUAGAAUUUCCGGUGUAGCGGUGAAAUGCGUAGAGAUCGGAAGGAAUAUCGAUGGCGAAGGCAGCUCUCUGGCCUGAUACUGACGCUGAGGCGCGCAAGCAUCGGUAGCAAACAGGAUUAGAUA